CAACCUCAACUCAUAUGGGACUACCCCCUGAAUUUAAGCAUAUUAAUUAGGGGAGGAAAAGAAACUAACAAGGAUUUUCUUAGUAGCGGCGAGCGAAAAGAAAUCAGUUCAGCACUAAGUCACUUUGUCUAUAUGGCAAAUGUGAGAUGCAGUGUACGGAACAUCAACAUUCUAGUAUGAGAAGUUAACGAUUUAAGUCCUUCUUAAAUGAGGCCAUUUACCCAUAGAGGGUGCCAGGCCCGUAUAACGUUAAUGAUUACUAGAUGGUGUUUCCAAAGAGUCGUGUUGCUUGAUAGUGCAGCACUAAGUGGGUGGUAAACUCCAUCUAAAACUAAAUAUAACCAUGAGAACGAUAGUAAACAAGUACCGUGAGGGGAAAGUUGAAAGAACUCUGAAUAGAGAGUUAAAUAGUACGUGAAACUGCUUAGAGGUUAACCCGAUGAACCUGAAUAUCCGUUAUGGAAAAUCAUCAUUAAAAUGGUAUAUUUAAACAAUAUAUAAAAUAGUGUGGAUUUUUUCAAUAAAGAAUUGGAACCCAUUAACAAAAAAAUUUUCAAAAAAUUUGUGCUGAAUGCUUAUUUUGAAUUAAUGGCUUGGGAUUUUUAACUAAAAAAAAAAAAAAAAAAUUU
rnacentral:ncRNA from 1 species